rnacentral:rRNA from 1 species
UACAGAGGGUGCGAGCGUUGUCCGGAAUCACUGGGCGUAAAGGGUGAGUAGGUGGCCUGGUAAGCGUGUGGUGAAAGCCUGGGGCUCAACCCCAGGUCUGCCAUGCGAACUGUCAGGCUUGAGCAUAGUAGAGGCGGGUGGAAUUCCGGGUGUAGCGGUGGAAUGCGUAGAUAUCCGGAAGAACACCGGUGGCGAAGGCGGCCCUCUGGACGGAUACUGACGCUGAGACGCGAAAGCGUGGGGAGCAAACAGG